rnacentral:rRNA from 1 species
GGACGGGUGAGUAACGCGUGGGAACGUGCCCUUUGGUUCGGAACAACACAGGGAAACUUGUGCUAAUACCGAAUGUGCCCUUCGGGGGAAAGAUUUAUCGCCAUUGGAGCGGCCCGCGUUGGAUUAGCUAGUUGGUGGGGUAAAGGCCCACCAAGGCGACGAUCCAUAGCUGGUCUGAGAGGAUGAUCAGCCACACUGGGACUGAGACACGGCCCAGACUCCUACGGGAGGCAGCAGUAGGGAAUCUUGCGCAAUGGGCGAAAGCCUGACGCAGCCAUGCCGCGUGAAUGAUGAAGGUCUUAGGAUUGUAAAAUUCUUUCACCGGGGAAGAUAAUGACGGUACCCGGAGAAGAAGCCCCGGCUAACUUCGUGCCAGCAGCCGCGGUAAUACGAAGGGGGCUAGCGUUGCUCGGAAUUACUGGGCGUAAAGGGCGCGUAGGCGGACAGUUUAGUCAGAGGUGAAAGCCCAGGGCUCAACCUUGGAAUUGCCUUUGAUACUGGCUGUCUUGAGUUCGGGAGAGGUGAGUGGAAUGCCGAGUGUAGAGGUGAAAUUCGUAGAUAUUCGGCGGAACACCAGUGGCGAAGGCGACUCACUGGCCCGAUACUGACGCUGAGGCGCGAAAGCGUGGGGAGCAAACAGGAUUAGAUANCCUGGUAGUCCACGCUGUAAACGAUGAGUGCUAGUUGUCGGCAUGCAUGCAUGUCGGUGACGCAGCUAACGCAUUAAGCACUC